UUGAUUUCCACAGUUGAUUGAUUCAUCUCAAUGUAGUACAAGCAUUCCAGAGGAAACGACCACUCCAAGCGGAACAGAUUUGACGUAACAUUCGUCACAUUCGGUACGUCGACGGCUAUGAAAAACGAGCAAAGAACUUUUAUGUUACCGAACGGAAUGUUAAGAAGAGUAGAUUGCGCAUACCCAUUCAGCCCAGUGGACUCUGAAUGAUUUUGCACUGGAAUUACACUGACUAAAUAGCUUGAACAAGGCAAAAAGCUUAACGCCGUGUUCGAAAGACGGCGACCCUUUACCGGUAGCAGAACACCCAGACGGCACUCGGAUUCGAUGGACAUCGUCUGCCGUGCUGUUGAUUCGGAUUUCCCAUGACAAGGAAUCAGCUAGUAAACACACUGGUUCUUCCCAAUUCACUAGGACGCUUUGAUGCUUAUCGCCGUUCACCACCUUUACUUCAGCCCAACGAACUUCUUUGGCGAAGGAAAUGUCCUCGUAUAACGGGCGAAAAAUGAUCGGUGUUGCUUCGCAUCUGUCCAUUCUGUGGACUAUGACUUGCCCAGAACAAACCACGGUCGUGGAGUUUUCCUCCGUUCCAACUUCACAUAGUAAAACGUGUUGAACUGGAGGAUGGACAUCAGGAAGCUGGAGUUCAAUCGCAACCAAUCGUACAGAACAUCGCUCGUCGAACGUAUAAAAUGCCAUUUCAAUGUCCAAGUAGUUCUGGUUGUUACCGAUCACCGCAGUAACCGAAGUUUGAUCGGGUGAAACUUCCAAUUCACUAUCUCCUAAAAGGAAACGUGGUCAACUUGAAGUUGGUUGUUUCAACUCGGACGUUGUAAUCUGAACAAGGCGCUAAAGACACUUCGCCUGCAAUAGUUUUGCGAGAAAUUCGACAUUUCUCCUCAUCGCACGCUACGCUAGAACCUGGAGCGUUAUCCGCAGGCCUGUCAAUCGACACGCUCUGCGGGUGAUUUCCCUUUGACAACCGGAGUUACAAGAAGAGUGUAAUCAGUACACGGAGAGAGAUCAAUGUCAUGCAGUUGCCGAUUUUCAUGACACACAAGUUUGCCCGAUUCUAAAUCAACCUGGUGAAACCCUGAGGAUUUUUCGCUGAUGCCGGAGCAGUUGUACGGAAUGCUUAAGACACGAUGAAGACUUCCAUUCCCUUGGCGAAAUUCCAUAUUCCAAGAGAAUGCCACUCCGUUUAGGCAAACAGGAUCUUUCCAUUUCAGUUGCAAGACGUGUCGCUCAACUUGUUGGACUUCAAGUUCGAUUGGAAAAGAGUCUAUCUGACCAGUGUUUUCAACCAAUGGCGGAAGGGUUUUGUUGAACCAAAACACUUGGUCAGUGUCCGCUUUGGGGUACUGGAAGCCGACAGUAACUGCGAGAGGUAGGCACAAGUUUAAAUGAUUGAAUUCUACUGUGCCGUCACAAGCGAUGUUCUGAUUGCACGGGACAGUCUGUUCCAUUAGUCUAGCGCCAGGUAUUUUGAAUGUGGCCGAAAUGAUGCGAUCAUCACAAGGGUAGCGUUUCUUUUGUACGUUCAGUUUCAAUGCCCAUUCUUCGCCAUUCGAGUGAGACGUAACCAAUCUCAUAUUAUCGGGUGAAACGUCAUCGAAUUCUAAGACAAACAGAAGAAACGUUUGUUACAAACUUGCGAUUUUGCAUUGUGUACCUGCGUUUACCUAAAGGAAUAAACUCGGUAGUGAAAGUGGUUGAUACCGAGAUACGGCUGAGAAAUUCUGUAUCUCCAGUUAUCAUUGGAGUCAAUCUGAGAGAAUAAUUAGUGCAUGGUAUCAUGUUGAUAGUAUCCUUAUCUGGUAAUAACUUGCCGUCAGAGCACGUUAUUUGACCGUUAUUGAUGAUAAUGGAGCUUUUCGUUGGAUUCUUGUUCGACCUUGAGCAUUGAGAUGGAAUUGUCAAGUGAUACUCCUGCGAGUCUUCAAUACCGGGUGAAAUAAUGCUUAAGUUUGUCGGAGAUGUGGCCGUGUCCUUGAAGCAGAUGGGGUUUCUCCACUCAACCGCCAUCGAUUGUUGACUAGCGUUGGCCUUUACAACCAGGUCAGACAGCGCUUCAACGCCACUCCACGAUUCAGGUUUUGUCGGUUCGAGAAUUGCAUUGAACCAGCUACCCCUGUAUACGUUGAAGCUCUUUUCUGGUUUCGAAUACAAUGGCCGAAUGGCAAUGUUCAGUUUGGAACGGCAAAUCAGAUUAGGCUGGACUAUUUGCACGAAGACAGUACAGUUUUUGCGAAAUGGAAUGGUGGCUUCGUUCUUCUCGCAUGGCAAAACCAUGGCCUUUGAUGGUAAGUCAAAAAAUUGCAAUUCGAUCGCAUUCUUCCAUGUGCCACAACUUUGUUGGAUCCCCUCAAAAGAUAUUGAGAUAACCAGCGUUCCAUUUGUGGUGUAACUGGAUGUCAAUGGGCGAAUCAAAACAGUGGAAGCUAAAAUAUGAAUAGCAAAAAAAAAAAAAAGACGUGAUUAAACUAACCUUAAUCGGCUUAUAAUCCUUCAACCACGGCCAUUGUUUACUUACGUGGGGGUGUUUCAAUGUUUAACACGUCACUGCUGCCUUCCAUUUCCAUCUCGUAUCGAUUGCAAGGCAAAAACCCAUUUCGAUCCUUAUUUAAAUAGGCUCCACAUUGCCGAGAAUCGUCGUCACAGGUUGUGCUAACAUUACUGAGACGCCUCCUGGAGAUGAAGCCGAUGCAGAAAAAGUCAUUUCAUCCGUUAAUGCAAUAGAGAAAUUCUUCCUCUCGGAAUGGCAUCCCAAUUUCCAAGAAAAACGAACUGGAUUAUUCAAAUCACCGUUAAAUACGCUCGCGAGUUCCAGCACACCUGCAAACAGUGACCUUAAUUGUUAGGAGUUGACUUAAUCUUUCAAUCGGAGCGUCAGAGUUACUUGGUUGGAGUAAUUUCAAAGAAGGUGUGUUCGAAUUGCUUGAUUUGAUCCAGUUCGUUACACAAGGCUCUACUUCGUACACAUAUUCGCAAAAUCCUUUCUUGCAAAAAUCACUUGGUGAAGCUCUUAAGGGCUAGUAAUUAAUGCUGUAUUCUUCUACCAUUAUCAAGAAGAGCACUUACGGUUUUUCGAGCGAGUUUGUCUUAGCAACCAUCAGCAGAGGAUUGAAUGGGCAAUUUACUGGCGAGAUGGACCAACGCACAUUUACGGAAUGGAUGUUUUCAUGUCGGCUAACGUGACGAAAACCGGCAUCAUAAAAUCAGCAUCGCAGGUGAUUUUCCAGCGUAAUUUGACCGGAGCAUUUGCCAUUUCCGACAGAUCUUCUCGCAAGCUUUGAGAAUCGAUGUCAACUGGAAUCGUGGUCACAUAUUCUGUGUUUCGUUCGCCACCAAGACGAAACUGAUAAUUCGAACAGGAUUUCACUGGAACAGUAAAAUUGCAUUUGGCUAUCGUGUCCGUGAUUAUGUAACAUAUGUGUUUGCCCAUGGUAACUCUCUGGUUCAGAGUAAUUAACUCGGUCUUCAGACUGCAGCUACAGAACAUCAUUGUGUUAUCGUGAGCUUACUUGCUUAUUGUGGAGAUGUUGAGAAGUCGAUCAGAGUCCAAACCAUUGGUGGCAUUCAUGAUCUGCCACUCAAGAUAUACCAUUGUCUCAUUUAAAGUCUUCAUUCGAAAGUGGAGCAUCCCUACACGCAAUUGGACACACAUUUUUACUAUCGGUUAUCUAAAUGAACACUACAUACAAAAUUUUCAUUUUUUACUGAAUUGAUGAAAGAGUUUCUCCGGGUCCUCCUGAAUGGCCGAAUCUGUGGCUGUUUCCGAAUGAUCUAAAAGCACUGGGUUGAUAACAAUAUUUACUGUGAUUAGUUAAUUCAAAGGCAAAUCCCUACCCGUUUGACUAAUUGGUGCAAGAUCCGAUUUGUCAGAAGAACCUGCCAAUGGUGGAGCUGCAAGCCAAAUAAUUUAUUUAUUUUUUUUUAUGUUAAAACUAAUCACUUAAUUGUCGUAGUUUCUCAUACCCGGUUGGCUUAUGGGUUCAUAAGAUAUGUUGCCAUGCAUCCAGUUGUCGAGCAGAUCUUCGUUAAAUUCUACGGUUUAACCAAAAAACAAAGGUGGUUCUUCAUUAUUAUAAAAAAUUUGAGCAUACGACUUUAUCUACCUUCUUCUGUGCUGCGGGUGAUGAGUUCGUCGAUGACUGACUUUUCAGCAUUUCCUAUAUCGAGUGAAAAUAACCAGAGAGCAGCUGCCACCCAAAAGAAGACAGAACGAUUGGCCAAACUCAUGUUGUUGAGUCAAUGAUACCAGUAGCAAAGAAAUCGCGAUCUCCUGAAAUGGAUUCAAAACAAGCUGUUCGUCUGAUGUGAACUGUUUCUUACUAGUCACUUCUUAGAGCAAACCUAUGCGUACACAAUGGAGGAAGUCCCUUGGUUCGGAAAAGGAAACGAAAAUAACCUCAACGGAUGCAUUUUAUCUUUUAGUUUUCUCGACGAAAUUUAUGCCAUAUUUUCAGCGGAAAGGUGUCGUAAUGUGUUUGCAUCAAGGCGCGCUCAAAGAGAUUGUUCGAUUCCGUCAACUCUGUUGCAAUUAAGAAGAUAAAGCGGACAAAGCGUUGCUAGAUGACCCCUUGCUGUCUUGUUUUCUUUUUCCGAUGUCUUGAAGGGAAAAUCCAUCGACACGCAUGGGAAUAUUUCUGAUGUUGACGUCUUCUUAGAAACGACUUUGGAACGGUCGAUCAUCCAACGUUGACAGCAUCAUCGUCUUGCAGUAGCCCUUUUUCCAUUUCUUUUACAGGCCUUCAAACCUUUCGACGCAUUGGAAAGUACCAAGCAAAGUCGUCAAGUGGACGCGGCGUCACUUUAAAAGAAACACCGUUAUUCAUUUGUGUUAGUUAUAUUUUCUUGUGCAUAUGUUUAAUUGUGGUUCGCCACAUUAAAUUCAACUGGAGGUUAACCUUCUACACUGCUAAGCUAUGGCGACACCUUCUGUUACUGUUCCAUUAGGAGAAGCUAGAGUUAUAAACAUAGGAGGAUGUCCGGCUUGUCGGGUGGGGACUCUGAAAUAUUACUUCACCUGCACGGGUAUCACGCUUGCCAUUUUGCUCUUUCCCAUCGGCCUACUCUGCCUUUUCGGAUUGCAGGAACAACGAUGUACGCACUGUGGAGUCGUAAUUUAGUCAUUUCAACUGUUAUUUACCUUUGACAGUCAACUGAUGUCUUGCAAGUUCCCGUCGUUACUGUAGAGCGUAGGAAUCAACAGUUAGUCAUGAACCAUCGCUCAGAUUGCAUGUGGUCUAUGCCGCCUAACUUGUCGAAUAUAACUACGAUGUCUUAUUGCAUCCCCGUUUCCCUGAUAAUGAUGAUAUAAAAAAUCGUUUCUGACAACACCAAUAUUAUCUUGAUGUGGUCAUGUAUGUAUGUCGUGUGAAUUGAAGUUUUUAAAGGAAAACAUUUUCCCACUUCAAGUACUUAGGAUAUAUGCAUUCUCUUAUUUUCACAGAGCUCCUGUUCUUUCUUCUUUGAUUGAUAUUUAAAAUCCCUAGUUUGUUACUUGUAAACAAAAACUGCAUAACUAACGGGAAAACUAAUAUUUUAUUGGGAAUUAGCGUUCAAAUUUGGUUAUAAAGGGUUACGUUUCAUCAAAUGCCAAGUCAAAAUUUAAAGCCCGACAAAAAUAAUUUUAUGUGGCAAUUAGUUAGUACCAUUUUUCGUCCCCUCACCCAGGCUAUACAGCCAUGUAAUCAGUCCUCAAACCCUAUAACUCAAUAAUAUCAUCAAUUCCCUAGCUAUUGCUAUUUGCUAUGCUAAUUCUAAAAGUUAGAGCUAUUUGCUUUCGCUAUGGGGUAAUUUCUUGCGGAUUAAAUCUAUUGCCACGAUAGGCUGUCGUUGCAUGACGGCCAAAACUGUCUAUUGCCACGACAUCUUUCGUGGCAACAAAAAAAAUAUUUACUUAUUCCACGAUAGCCUGUAGGUUCUCUCUCAUCGUGUCAAUAAGUUCAAAUAUACCUAUUGCCAUAACA